UAGAAGUGCCCAUCCAAGAACACUCAAAGUCAUAGGUCACAGAUAGAAUGAUGUCAAAUCACGUUGUAUCUACCAUAGCUUUGAUUGGACUGUUUUUUUUCACACUCAAAAAAUGUGGGGUUCAACAAGGGUUUUUCUAAGAUCCUCAAAGUUCUUUGAAGAACCUUAGGGUAUUUGGCACUGGAAGAUGCCCCCAAAAGGUACUUCUAAUAACCCCAUAGAGGGUAGGGUUCAUCGAGGAACCUCCUUAGUUCUUCAGGGUUCUUGCAGGAACCUAACUUUGAAUUUGAAAAAACAGCAGGUGCAGGCACUUAACUGAACAUUUUUAAGAUCUCCUCCAUUUAAGGUAUACUGACGAGGAGGCACACAAAGGACUCAGUCACAGCAGCCAUCUUCCUCCUCCCUGACCUCUUCAAUGAAGAUCCCAGAGACCUCUACAUUAUGGACAAGACACCACUGAUGAAUAUAACUGGAAACCUUUUCGAUCACCACGUAGUGUAAAAUCCUUCUGGCUGUGGAUACGAAGCAUGUCAACACAUUAACACGCCAGACGAUAUACUGAUUGAACUUGGAGCCAUGCUGGGAGUUUACCUCAUAUUUAGAUUGUAGAAUUGCCCUAAAAUCAUAAUAAAC